GCCACUUGUUUCUUCGUCCGCAGGCAUCACGUAAGAAGAGAAAGGUCUCGAGCUUAUUCUUAUGUUUGUGAAUUAAUUUCAUGGUAUGAGUAGUCGCCGCCUAGUGUAUCUUUGGUUUGAUCUAUCUUUGAAUAACAUUUAUGUACGGUGUGCAAUUGAUUAUUGGAUCGAUUGUUGUUACUGUGUUGAGACUUAUGAAAGCCUUACACAUGGUGUUAACUUCUAAAGUAAAUGCUAGUUAUCAUUAUCUGGCAAAUGAGAAUGUCUCUGUCAUGAGGCAAAUUAUGUAUGGUUAUUUUCUGUACCUCCCCUUUACCCCUUUGAUGAAAUAAGGCCUUCCUAGUUUUUUCUUGUAUUACUUUCUUUUAUAUUUUGCUAUACACUUUCUAGCUAUUGAUCUGUUGUUUCAAAGUCUUUGCAGCUGUUUGAGUUAAUACUUUAUUGCUCAUAUUAAAUUAUGACAUUGUUACAGAUUAUUCUAAUUCAAUUUUUUCCCGAGUGUCAUGCUCCCUGUGUGGAUUCUAGCUUCAAACAUGAAUUCACCGCGUUCCAUCGGUUAUCCAUCUUUGUCAUCUCUUAACUCAAGGUAAUUGUCUUCACACAUUUCAAGUCCAAGCAAUGGUUUACGUCCAAUUCUUAGUAAUAAAAUUGGCAAUAGUAACGAGUGCAAACAAGAUGGCUAUAGUAUUUAUCCACAGCACAAAUUUAAACAUAAGAUUAUGACAUGCACAUUAUGAAUUGAUAGAAAAAAUAAAUCUUAACAAUGAUUAAAAUCCAAUUGACUAAAUAUAUAUGCAUAAGUUCACUUUUAUAUAUUGGUUACAGGGCCUCUAAACCAACGCCUACCACUGAUUAUCCAAUAAGAAAGUACAAUAAUGAGCAAACAUCCAACAG
rnacentral:lncRNA from 1 species